AGCGAACGCUGGCGGCAGGCUUAACACAUGCAAGUCGAGCGGGCGUAGCAAUACGUCAGCGGCAGACGGGUGAGUAACGCGUGGGAACGUACCUUUUGGUUCGUAACAACACAGGGAAACUUGUGCUAAUACCGGAUAAGCCCUUACGGGGCAAGAUUGAUCGCCGAAAGAUCGGCCCGCGUCUGCUUAGAUAGUUGGUGAGGUAAUGACUCACCAAGGCGACGAUUAGUAGCUGGUCUGAUAGGAUGAUCAGUCACAGUGGAAGUGAGACUCGGCCCACACUCCUGCGGGAUGCAGCAGUGGGGAAUAUUGGACAAUGGCGGCAAGCCUGAUCCAGCCAUGCCGCGUGAGUGAUGAAGGCCCUAGGGUUGUAAAGCACUUUUGUGCGGGAAGAUAAUGACGGUACCGCAAGAAUAAGCCCCGGCUAACUUCUUGCCAGCCGCCGCAGUAACAC
rnacentral:rRNA from 1 species